GGAAACCGGAGCUAAUACCGGAUAAUAUAUUGAACCGCAUGGUUCAAUAGUGAAAGACGGUUUUGCUGUCACUUAUAGAUGGAUCCGCGCCGCAUUAGCUAGUUGGUAAGGUAACGGCUUACCAAGGCAACGAUGCGUAGCCGACCUGAGAGGGUGAUCGGCCACACUGGAACUGAGACACGGUCCAG
rnacentral:rRNA from 1 species